AGAGUUUGAUCCUGGCUCAGGAUGAACGCUAGCGGCAGGCCUAAUACAUGCAAGUCGAACGGUGGUAGCAAUACCAUAGUGGCGCACGGGUGCGUAACACGUAACUAACCUACCUAUACCUGGGGGAUAGCCCGCCGAAAGGCGGAUUAAUACCGCAUAANNCAUGCGCCCGGCAUCGGGUGCUUGUUAAAGAUUUAUUGGGUAUAGAUGGGUUGCGGGUCAUUAGCUAGUUGGUUGGGUAACGGCUGACCAAGGCGACGAUGACUAGGGGAGCUGAGAGGCUGGUCCCCCACACGGGCACUGAGAUACGGGCCCGACUCCUACGGGAGGCAGCAGUAGGGAAUAUUGGGCAAUGGGCGAGAGCCUGACCCAGCCAUGCCGCGUGCAGGAUGAAGGCUUUCUGAGUCGUAAACUGCUUUUGACAGGGAAGAAUAAGCUGGUCGUGACCAGUGAUGACGGUACCUGCAGAAUAAGCACCGGCUACUCCGUGCCAGCAGCCGCGGUAAUACGGAGGGUGCGAGCGUUGUCCGGAUUUAUUGGGUUUAAAGGGUGCGUAGGCGGCCCGUUAAGUCUGGGGUGAAAGCCCGUUGCUCAACAACGGAACUGCCCUGGAUACUGACGGGCUUGAGUACAGACGAGGUUGGCGGAAUGGACCGAGUAGCGGUGAAAUGCAUAGAUACGGUCCAGAACCCCGAUUGCGAAGGCAGCUGACUAGGCUGUUACUGACGCUGAGGCACGACAGCGUGGGGAGCGAACAGGAUUAGAUACCCUAGUAGUCC
rnacentral:rRNA from 1 species